rnacentral:rRNA from 1 species
GUGAGGAAUUUUCCGCAAUGGGCGAAAGCCUGACGGAGCAAUGCCGCGUGAAUGAUGAAGGCCUAUGGGUUGUAAACUUCUUUUCUUAGAGAAGAAUAUUGACGGUAUCUGAGGAAUAAGCAUCGGCUAACUCUGUGCCAGCAGCCGCGGUAAGACAGAGGAUGCAAGCGUUAUCCGUAUUGAUAGGGCGUAAAGCGUCUGUUGGUGGCUUCAAAAGUCUCCUGUCAAAGAUCAGGGCAUAACCCUGGGCCGACAAGAGAAACUCUGAGGCUAGAGUUUGGUAGGGGCAGAGGGAAUGCCCAGUGGAGCGGUGAAAUGCGUAGAGAUCGGGAGGGACACAAAAGGCGAAAGCACUCUGCAGGGCCUAAACUGACACUGGGAGACGAAAGCGAGGGGAACAAAAGGGCAUAGAAACCCUUGUAGUCC